CAGAGUUUUGCUCUCAUUGCCCAGGCUGGAGUGCAAUGGCGCGAUCUCAGCUCACUACAACCUCCGCCUCCCGGGUUCAAGCAAUUUUCCUGCCUCAGCCUCCCGAG